rnacentral:lncRNA from 1 species
AUGCCCAAAUCCAGAUUUAGAUGCUUUGGCGAUGCGUCCGACCUCACGUCCAACCUCACCUUCUGCAUCCAACCUCACCUUCUGCGUCCGACCUCACCUUCUGCGUCCGACCUCACCUUCUGCGUCCGACCUCACCUUCUGCGUCCGACCUCACCUUCUGGGUCCGACCUCACCUUCUGCGUCCAACCUCACCUUCUGGGUCCGACCUCACCUUCUGCGUCGGACCUCACCUUCUGCGUCCAACCUCACCUUCUGCGUCCGACCUCACCUUCUGCUCACCUUCUGCGUCCGACCUCACGUCCGACCUCACCUUCUGCGUCCGACCUCACCUUCUGCGUCCGACCUCACCUUCUGCGUCCGACCUCACCUUCUGUGUCCGACCUCACCUUCUGUGUCCGACCUCACCUUCUGCUCACCUUCUGCGUCCGACCUCACCUUCUGCGUCUGACCUCACCUUCUGCGUCCGACCUCACCUUCUGCAUCCGACCUCACAUCCGACCUCACCUUCUGCGUCCGACCUCACCUUCUGGGUCCGACCUCACCUUCUGCGUCCGACCUCACCUUCUGCGUCCGACCUCACCUUCUGCGUCUGACCUCACCUUCUGCGUCCGACCUCACCUUCUGCAUCCGACCUCACCUUCUGCAUCCGACCUCACAUCCGACCUCACCUUCUGCGUCCGACCUCACCUUCUGCAUCCGACCUCACAUCCGACCUCACCUUCUGCGUCCGACCUCACCUUCUGCGUCCGACCUCACCUUCUGCUCACCUUCUGCGUCCGACCUCACCUUCUGUGUCCGACCUCACCUUCUGUGUCCGACCUCACCUUCUGUGUCCGACCUCACCUUCUGUGUCCGACCUCACCUUCUGCGUCCGACCUCACCUUCUGCGUCCGACCUCACCUUCUGCGUCCGACCUCACCUUCUGCCAAGACGUCCCGUUCAAAGGCCCGGCCGGUUCAGACCGCCUGGACUAAGAGGAUUUUCCUGCUGGAGGACGGUGAUCCACCAGCGGGAGACGACGCUGUCCGGUCUGAUCCGACUUUAGUUGUGGUUGUUGGACAUCAGACCAGCCGGCCCGGUGGACUCGACAGUCCAGAACCAACACACAUGCAUCAGUUUGUCUCGUUGGGAAGAGUCCAACCAAGCCUGAGAUUGGUCCUGCUUCCUGUCCAACCAAGUCCUUAA